AACGAACGCUGGCGGCAGGCCUAACACAUGCAAGUCGAGCGAGGACUUCGGUCCUAGCGGCGGACGGGUGAGUAACGCGUGGGAACGUGCCCUUUGGUACGGAAUAGCCCCGGGAAACUGGGAGUAAUACCGUAUGGUGUCUUCGGACUAAAGAUUUAUCGCCAAAGGAUCGGCCCGCGUUGGAUUAGGUAGUUGGUGGGGUAAUGGCCUACCAAGCCGACGAUCCAUAGCUGGUUUGAGAGGAUGAUCAGCCACACUGGGACUGAGACACGGCCCAGACUCCUACGGGAGGCAGCAGUGGGGAAUCUUAGACAAUGGGGGCAGCCCUGAUCUAGCCAUGCCGCGUGAGUGAUGAAGGCCCUAGGGUUGUAAAGCUCUUUCAGCUGGGAAGAUAAUGACGGUACCAGCAGAAGAAGCCCCGGCUAACUCCGUGCCAGCAGCCGCGGUAAAGUAGACGU
rnacentral:rRNA from 1 species